rnacentral:rRNA from 1 species
CAGUAGCCGCGGUAAAACGGAGGGCGCGAGCGUUACCCGGAUUUACUGGGCGUAAAGGGCGUGUAGGCGGCCUGGGGCGUCCCAUGUGAAAGGCCACGGCUCAACCGUGGAGGAGCGUGGGAUACGCUCAGGCUAGAGGGUGGGAGAGGGUGGUGGAAUUCCCGGAGUAGCGGUGAAAUGCGCAGAUACCGGGAGGAACGCCGAUGGCGAAGGCAGCCACCUGGUCCACUUCUGACGCUGAGGCGCGAAAGCGUGGGGAGCAAACCGGAUCAGAGACCCGUGUAGUCCCUGUCUCUUAUAA